GCCGCUUUUCCAGCGGGAAGAAUUCCCAGAAAAACCCAAACAAAGGCGGGAGCGGCUCCGGGAGCGGCCCCGCCCCCGCUCGGGGAGCAGCGGGAAUUCCGCCGGGAAUUGGGAUUCCAGCCCCCAUCCCACUUUUCCCGCCGCGGGGAUCCCGGCGGGGAAGGGGCAGCCAUGGCCCCCAACGGCUCGGUGGGAAUUCGGGAUUCCCCCCCGGAGCCGGGGAUUUUCCUGGAUGAGGAUUUGGGAUCCGACUGGUACAUCUACGAAUCCACCGAGUCCGCGGCCCAGGAUGAGUGAGUGGCCCCAAAAUGUCCCCAAAA
rnacentral:lncRNA from 1 species